AGGUGAACUGAGGAAGACACGUGAGUACAUCUCUACUUCAGAAGGAAGGCGGUGUAAUUGCCAGAGCCUCACAGGGAAGAAGUGGGACCUUGAUUGAGAUUGUGGCCAAUGAGAGAGCCAUAUCAGAGGAGGCAAAGGAGGUGGACAGUAUUCUAAAGAUGAAGCUGAAAACCAUCUUCCAGCCUCUACACACACAACACCCAUAACAACCCAUACCCGUUGGAACAAGAUCUCCAGAACCGGAACAGGGAAACAGCAGUUGGAAGAAAUUUCGAUCCAUAGUCAUUGUUCCAUAGACUCUGGACCUGUGUGUGGUGAGGCAGAAACUGAUCACGGAGGGAGUAUGCGCUAGAGAAAGCAGAACAGACGGUGACGGAAAAGGAGCGGGGUUAGAGCCAGUUGCUAACUACAUGCCCAAAGUGACCAAUGUCCUCCAUCUCCACUCUGCCUCUCACAGUACUGCCUCAGAUUUGGUGUCAUCGGAGGAUUGAACCAAUCAAAACAUCCUCAUAGAUCCACCCAGACAUGUGCGUUUCCAGUCUACCAGAUGAUGCACACCAUUUGUAUCCUGCCUUUGGAACACCCGUGAGCAUUCCUCGAGGCUUUGUGUGUCACAGAACAGUUUGGCAAAUGGCAUUUGAGA